rnacentral:lncRNA from 1 species
UUUUUUCUAUAAGCUUUGAAAUGAGACUGAAUGACUUGAUGUUGAGUUGCUGGGGAAUGUGAUUUAUAAUGUGUGGCUUGGUCUAUCACUCAUUUUACAGCAUAAUCAACUAAGUGACCAGUUCAGAUGGGAAUAAAAUCACUGGCAGUUUCCUCAGAGAACACGAGUGGACAAAUAUCCUUUGGCAGACUCUUAGCCAAACUCCAAUCUGAGAAACAAACUAUGCUCUCUUUAUGAGUGAAGAGCAAAAUCACGGUCUGGUUGAGAAACAGUGAAAUAAAGAGAAAUGCAAUCUGAACAGUGAAAUAAAUCCGAAAUGCAGAUCAGAGCACCUGUUUUGCCAGGUCUUCAAUGAUAGCAGCAGAACUGUGCACCACUGGUUCUUUACAAUGUGUUUGUGCUGCCUUCAAUUACUUGCUGAGAGCCACUCAGAUCCAGCCCUGCGUCAUUUUUUGUACUGCACGGGAACAUGAAUCAAGACUGUCACACUUUUGAUGUGGCUGCCAAGUCAACAGCGCAGUCAUUGUGUCCUUGGAGAUUGAAGCCAUGAUCCCAAACCCUUUCCCAGGGUCAUGUGUCCCCUGGCUGCCCUCCUUGCAGGGCUCCAAACAGAGAAUGCCUGGUUUUGGCUGGCUGGUUCUUGAACUCAGUGCCUGAUAACUGGCUCACUGCUGCCCACAAUCUGCUCCUCUCCAAGGUGGGCUUCUCUACUCAAGGUAGGUGACUUCUCUACUCUCAUAAAUAAAUUACUCCCUUAUGCUGUAGGGAUGAGCUGC